rnacentral:rRNA from 1 species
GACGAACGCUGGCGGCGUGCUUAACACAUGCAAGUCGAACGGAAGGGCCCUGCUUUUGUGGGGUGCUCGAGUGGCGAACGGGUGAGUAACACGUGAGUAACCUGCCCUUGACUUUGGGAUAACUUCAGGAAACUGGGGCUAAUACCGGAUAGGAGCUCCUGCUGCAUGGUGGGGGUUGGAAAGUUUCGGCGGUUGGGGAUGGACUCGCGGCUUAUCAGCUUGUUGGUGGGGUAGUGGCUUACCAAGGCUUUGAGGGGUAGCCGGCCUGAGAGGGUGACCGGCAAAUUGGGGAUGGGGUACCGGCCAGACUCCUACGGGAGGCAGCAGUGGGGAAUAUUGCACAAUGGGCGGAAGCCUGAUGCAGCAACGCCGCGUGCGGGAUGACGGCCUUCGGGUUGUAAACCGCUUUCGCCUGUGACGAAGCGUGAGUGACGGUAAUGGGUAAAGAAGCACCGGCUAACUACGUG